rnacentral:rRNA from 1 species
GUAGGGAAUCUUGCGCAAUGGGCGAAAGCCUGACGCAGCCAUGCCGCGUGAAUGAUGAAGGUCUUAGGAUUGUAAAAUUCUUUCACCGGGGACGAUAAUGACGGUACCCGGAGAAGAAGCUCCGGCUAACUUCGUGCCAGCAGCCGCGGUAAUACGAAGGGGGCUAGCGUUGCUCGGAAUUACUGGGCGUAAAGGGCGCGUAGGCGGAUAUUUAAGUCGGGGGUGAAAGCCCGGGGCUCAACCUCGGAAUAGCCUUCGAUACUGGAUAUCUUGAGUACGGGAGAGGUGUGUGGAACUCCGAGUGUAGAGGUGAAAUUCGUAGAUAUUCGGAAGAACACCAGUGGCGAAGGCGACACACUGGCCCGUUACUGACGCUGAGGCGCGAAAGCGUGGGGAGCAAACAGGAUUAGAUACCCGGGUAGUCC